UGGCUCAGAUUGAACGCUGGCGGCAGGCCUAACACAUGCAAGUCGAACGGUAGCAGAAAGAAGCUUGCUUCUUUGCUGACGAGUGGCGGACGGGUGAGUAAUGUCUGGGAAACUGCCCGAUGGAGGGGGAUAACUACUGGAAACGGUAGCUAAUACCGCAUAACGUCUUCGGACCAAAGAGGGGGACCUUCGGGCCUCUUGCCAUCGGAUGUGCCCAGAUGGGAUUAGCUAGUAGGUGGGGUAACGGCUCACCUAGGCGACGAUCCCUAGCUGGUCUGAGAGGAUGACCAGCCACACUGGAACUGAGACACGGUCCAGACUCCUACGGGAGGCAGCAGUGGGGAAUAUUGCACAAUGGGCGCAAGCCUGAUGCAGCCAUGCCGCGUGUAUGAAGAAGGCCUUCGGGUUGUAAAGUACUUUCAGCGGGGAGGAAGGGAGUGAGGUUAAUAAGCUCAUUCAUUGACGUUACCCGCAGAAGAAGCACCGGCUAACUCCGUGCCAGCAGCCGCGGU
rnacentral:rRNA from 1 species